rnacentral:rRNA from 1 species
CCUACGGGUGACAGCAGUAGGGAAUAUUGCUCAAUGGGGGAAACCCUGAAGCAGCAACGCCGCGUGGAGGAUGAAGGUUUUCUGAUUGUUAACUCCUUUUUUUAGAGAAGAUAAUGACGGUAUCUAACGAAUAAGCACCGUCUAAUUCCGUUCCAGCAGCCGUGGUAAUAAGGAGGGUGCAAGCGUUACUCGGAAUCACUGGGCGUAAAGGGCGCGUAGGCGGGAUAGCAAGUCAGAUGUGAAAUCCUAUGGCUUAACCAUAGAACUGCAGUUGAAACUGUUAGUCUAGAGUAUGGGAGAGGUAGGCGGAAUUCGUGGUGUAGGGGUAAAAUGCGUAGAGAUCAAGAGGAAUACUGAUUGCGAAGGCGACCUGCUAGAACAUAACUGACGCUGAUGCGCGAAAGCGUGGGGAGCAAACAGGAUUAGAUACCCGUGUAGUC